CCAAGCUUAGGUUCUCUGAUCGGUUAUCAUUUCAAAGGAGACCUAAGGAUAUUUCAUUAGAUUGCCUUCUACUGUGAUCACAAACAGACACAGUAUGACAUUUUCUUAACACAAUAGAGGCAGCAUUAGCAUGUACUAAGCAACACAUCAUUCUUCUUGAUUGCCCUAUUUGCCUGAAGAGUUCAAAUGAGGCUAACUGCACAGCAGUAAGUAUACAGUCAGUUUCCCUUUUGGCAGUUAUUUUGAAUCUUUCUGAGCAUAUGUUUCCCCCUUAACGUAGGAUACUAAGAUAGGCAGGCAGACCUUUGAAACAGGAUAGAGUACCAUUAGCUAUAUUUCUGCCACUUAGAAUUUCAUGGAACAGAUCCUCCUAGAAGACAUACUAAAGCACAUAGAGGACAGGGAGGUGAUUAGAGACAGGCAGCACGGCUUCACCAGGGGCAGGUCCUGCCUGACCAACCUAGUGGCUUUCUGUGAUGGGAUAACCGCAGCAGUGGACAUGGGAAAACGCAACAGGUUUGUUGCGUGUGAUCUAUCUGGACUUCUGUACAGCCUUUGACACAGCCCCCCACAACAGCCUUUUCUCUCUAAAUUGGAGAGAGAAGGAGUGGACUCUUUGCUGGAUAAGAAGCUGAUUUGAUGGUCGUAGUUGGAGAGUAGUGGUCAAUGGCUUGAAGUGCAGAUGGAGAUCCAUGACAAAUGGUGUCCCUCAGGGGACCGUAGUGGGACCAGUGCUGUCUAAUGUCGUCAUCGAUGAUGUCGGCAGUGAGAUUGAGUGCACCCUCAGCAAGUUUGCCGGUGACACUAAGCUGAGUGGUGCACUUGCCAUACCAGAGGGACGGGACGUCAUCCAAAGCAACCUGGACAGACUGGAGAAGUGGGUCUCUGAGAAACUUAUGAGGUUCAUCAAGGCCAAGUGCAGUGUCCUACACCUGGGUCAGGACAAUCUGCAGCUUCAGUACAGGAUGGGGAAUGGCAUGAUUGAGAGCAGCCCUGCAGAGAAAGACUUUGGGGUUGCUGAUUGAUGAGAAGCUUGACAUGAGCCAGCAACGUGCAUUCGCGGCCCUGAAAGCCAACAGUGUCCUGGGCGGCAUCAAAAGAAGCGUGGCCAGCGAGUUGAGGGAGGUGAUCCUUCUCCUCUACUACAAUCUCAUACGACCUGCUCCUGGCGUAUUGUGUCCAGUUCUGGUAUCCCCAACAUUAGAAGGACAUGGAACUGUUGGAACGGUUCCAGAGGAGGGCUACGACGAUGAUCAGAGGGCUGGAGCACAUCCCAUGUGAGGACAGACUGAGAGAGUUGGGGCUGUGCAGCCUGGAGAAGAGAAGGCUCUGAGGAGACCUUAUAGUGACCUUCCAGUAUCUGAAGGGGCUGCAGGAAAGCUGGAGAGGGACUUUUUACAAGGGAAUGUAGUGAUAGGACAAGGAGAGAUGGCUAUAAAUGAGAGAGGGGAAGAUUUAGAUAAGAAAUUGGUAAGAAAUUCUUUCACAAUGACGGUGGCAAGACACUGUAAUGGGUUAUCCAGGGAAGCUGUGGCUGCCCCAUCCCUGGAAAUGUUCAAGGCCAGGUUGGCUGGGGCCUUGAGCAGCCUGAUCUGCUGGGAGGUGUCCCUGCCCAUGGCAGGGGGGGUUGAAACUAGAUGAUCUAUGAUUCUGUCAUUCCAUAUUAGAAAAUAUGAUGCAAUUUGACACAGCCUGCUUUUGGAGAAUUAAAUGAAAACAUUUCUGUUGGGUCAGUUAAAUAGGGGGAGCUAGCUUCCUGACUGAUGUUUGUUAUGUCAGGUUAGACAGAAGGAACUGCAGGCGUCUGUAGCACCUCAGAUGCUAUUAAAAGAAAAUAAGUUUCUAUGUCUGAAAGCAAUUCAGGUGAUUUUCACUUCCACCAAGUCUCAGUUCUUGACAGUGCAGACUUGUGAGCUAAUUAAUAUUCUAAGUUGCUUCCUUUAACCCUUUAGACAUUCACACUUUGGAAGAUUUUUGUGUUGUGUGGCUGUUUUCUGGCACUGGUAGUAGAUAAUAAUUAAGUGCAUGAGAAGAAAGCUUGCUUUCCCUUCUCUGAACUCACGUUUUAGAAAGAAUGACAUCAGCUGCUAAUUCAGCUUGUGUCGAUAACGGGAUACAUCAGACCUAGUAAAGGAUGACGUGCUUGCCAUUCAUUCAGAAGCAAUAUCGGUGUUAUGUCAAGUUAUCUGUGGGCUACUUAAGGCCACUCUAUCUUACUGCAUACAAAUGAAAGCCUGCAUACAAAAGAAAAGAUGUAGAAAAUGUGUGGAUAAAGGGAAGAAUUGUGGCUUUAUAAAGUAGGAAAAAACUGCUGUUAGGUGCUGUGUUGCAGUCACCUCUGUGCCAAAUUUUAGUGCAGAAAUCUACUUGAUGAAAUUGAUACUAAUUUUUCUGCCUCAUCCUACACACAUGAUAUGUUAGCUGACAGUUAAAACAGUAUAUUAGGAAAAGCUAUCUUUGUGCAUCCUAAUGUCCUUUUCUAAGAUCAUGGUUAUAAUAUGUAUGUUGAGUGACAAAAUCAAGCAAAACAACGGCGGAUCGUUUGACUUUUUCUUUGAAUCUAGAGAAUUUUAUGUAAGAUUUUCCAAGAUUACAGAUAUCCUCUACAAAAUCUGAAUUAUAUGCCUUUGAUCCUGUCCUCCUAGUGACCUCUCUUAAAAAAAUAGAUGUGUGUGGAAAGUAUAAUCUGUGAUGUUGAACCAUCACAGCAUGGACAGACCGUGCUACGACUGAACCAUGCUGCUGGCCAUCUUCUCAGCAGUAGCUAAGGCAAAUGAGAACAUGACCUGGAGGAAAAGUGAGGAAACUGAAUGCAGAGCUUAGGACAUCAUAAGUGGGCAGAGGGGCAGAAACGACAGGAUGUCAAGGACAGCCUGAGAGAACAGGCAUGGACAAAGACGUAUGCAAAAAAAUGGGAAGUGUUUGAUAAAUUUCUAGGGAGACAAAUGGCAAAACCAGCAUAGCUGGUGACUACAAGCACACUUCCUUUAGAAAAGUUCUCCUUCCUAGUACCAGACAAGCCUAGGAAUGUAAGAUUGAAUAAACCAACAAAGACAUGUGAGCAUUGCAUCUGUCUCUGAGAAGCACAUAAGAAUCAGAUACAGGAAAAACCUGUUCUCCAGAUCACAGCCAGCUCUCUUCAUUGUUACUUAAGGUUUGGAAAGCAUCUAGAAAGAAAUUUUUCAGGUGAUAGACAGCUCUUCAUGCAUAUGUUGGGUGGUAGGUCAGUAAAGAACAAAAUCAACAGAUGUGAGUAAAAAUGAUACAGUGAGGAAGAGUCAUCACAUGAGUAGUGUUGCCACACAGAUCUGUAGGAGUUACUUCAAGGAAUCAGUAAACUUACGGAAAGAGUGAAAUGAUGUUCUUGGAGUUUAAAACAAUGUUUCCCCAUACCAGCAAUACCUGAAAAGACUAGGAGGAAAAAGCACUAGACCUGUUGUAGACCAACAAUUGCUUUAACAAGAAGUAAAGAAACAUGAAUAUUGUUCAGCUAUAACAGUGUAAGGAGGAAAUUCUGCUAAGAUAAAUGUUGUUCUAGAUACUAAUAAAAGCAAAACGAGUGCUUAGUGAGAUGAGAAUCAUUGCUGAUAUUUCUUAACGAGGAAUCUCAAAAUGAGUUCUCAGAAUUGUAGAAUAACAUUUUAAGCAAUAUUAAGUAGCAGAUAAUAAAAGUUGAUAAAAGCAAAACAAUAGCUACUUUAUGUACAUAUUGUUUGAUUGCAAUGUUCCCAUGAGAUGUCAUUAAACCGAGAACUAACUGCUCCAGCACCUUGUGAAUACCAAAGUGUUGACAAGCUUGAAAGGUAGUGAUGUAAAUUCACAACAGAAAGUCUGCCAGUAUCAAGUACUGAUUAAAGCCUUUGUCUCAAGGACAGAUUAAUCCAAGGGUGGUUCAAAUCAUGGCUUAUAUCCCCAAAGCAUACCACUGUGUGUCUGUCAUGCUCUAAUUCCCUUUCCUGAUCAUCUGCGAAGAGCUACUAUCAAAAACAUGUUAAAUUAGUCUGUCUAGCUAGUUCUUUAAUCUGAAAGUGACUCUUUUAUGUUUGUUGUGAAAAAUGGUGCCUCAAAGAUAAACCUUAAUUGAAUCUCAGGAUCAAAUAAUCACAGAUCUAUCCAUAUGGUUAGACCUGAUGAUCUUACAGGUCUUUUCCAACUUUAUCAAUUGUAUGAUUCUGCAAUUCUAUGAUUCUAUGAAUGUUUUGUUGUUCUCUUUCUUGUGGGUUAAUACUGCAAUAAUUAUAGAAGAGCUAGGUAAUACUGAUUGGUUUGUUUCAAGAUAUUUGUCCCCACAUAUGACUAAAAGACUUUUGACAUCAAGAGAAAGUAAUAUACACUUUGCCUAUUUUUUAAUUUUUCCCAAUGAAAAAUACCGAGUAGCAAUCAUUUAUAUACCUCCUCAAGCCACCAGUGUUUUUACUAAUAUAUGUAUUAUCCUUCACUCAUCUUUGCUUUAUAUUUUUAGUGGGGUUUUUAUAUGAAGUUAAGUGGGAAGACGAAUGCCGUAACCGUAAGUGUCCCUGCUUCCUUCUCCUUUCUCUCAGCUUUUACUGGUGAGAAGGAUGCUCUGUGGAAUGAUAUAUUCCUUUGAUAAGUUUGGGUCAGCUACGCUCUGAACGCCUUGGCCACUCUGAGUUUACUUGCUGGGGAGACAGAGUAGGGAGGAGAAAGCCUUGAUGCUGUGCAAGCACUGUUCAGCAACAGCCAAAAUGCUGCUGUGUUAAUAAAAUGCUGCUGUGUUAAUAAAAUGCUGCCGUGUUAAUAAAAUACUACUGUGUUAAUACUGUUUUAGCCACAACUUUGAAGCACAGCACUGUCUGGGUUGCUGUGAAGGACAUUAAUUGUGUCCCAGACAGAUCCAGCACAACAUCUUACAAGGCUGAGCCUCCUUUCCAACACCAAUCCUGAAAUUGACCACAAAAUCUCCUUUUUUCCUAUAUAACUCUCAUAAAACUGUCAGGCUUCUUGCCAUCCAAGUUAAUUGACAGUCAAUUUCUAGUAAGAGUCAAACCCCCAGAUACUUAACUAUUUAGCAAGUAUUUAAACAUGAAAGAACAAGUCUUAAGAAAUCAAUGAAUAUUCCUUCUCCCGAGAACAAUAUAAAAUGUAUAAUUUUUUAAGGUAUUCAUUCAAUGUAUGGCGAUAGGUGAGGCAAACAUGUUUCUUUUGGGAUUUUACAGUUUUUAAAAUUAUCUGUAUUUGCCACUGGUAAUUUUCAAGGUUUUCAGGAUUUCUGUAACUAAACAUAUUUCAUCCAAGGUGAAGAAGCCAUACAGCAGAUUAACGCCUCUUACUUGCUUUUUCAUUUCUCUUCCAUACACCUUAGCAGAAGGUUAAACACAAUUUUCCACUUUCAGUUUAAGGCCCAGCUGGGAAACUGAUCUAUGGUCCAUCUUGUAAUGUAUUUGCUUGCGGAUGACAGGGAAGCAUGUGACCGGAGUGCAGUGUCACUGAGAUGUGAGCGGGAUGUUGGAGAAGUACAAGAACAGCGACAGACAUGCUUUCAGGGCCAGUUCAGAUCUGAGAUAGCCUUAAAUGUCCUCUCUGUAUAAAGAACAGCCUGAGCUAAAGGAUUUCUCCUAAUUCGGCAUCACAGUAAGAUACUGGAAAUUAGCAUCACGACGGACCUGGACCAUCUUUUCUUCUCUGGCCCUUUCAAACAAGGAAGGACAAGGAUGCAAGGCUUGAAACAUCAAAUUAUAUCACUCAUAAAAGAAGGGAGGUCUUUGCUUCCUGGAAGGGAUUAUGUCAGAGAUCUUUCCUUAUAUAUGCCUACAGAGUCACUAGGAGAGGAUGUAUUUCUUCCUGAUUGAAUUCACUGAUUGAAUGUUAGUAGAGCAGAACUACUGUGUGACUCAAGCUCAAAAGUAGAAGCAACUACUUCAAAUCAAAGACCUAUUCAAAAGCUGACGAGCUACAGUAACUGAGUCAUUUUUUCUGUCUGUUUUCUGAAAAGCAGCUAGAAGGUACUAUCAUCAAUAUGCCUGAGCUCACAGAAUGUAAAAGCAACCAAAGUGCAGAGUCCAUUGGGGAGUGGACAUGGGUGAAGGCCAGCUGACAUGCCGUCAGAUCUCUUCAAAGCCUUUCAUCCACAGGAAACGUCACUGACUCUUGUGAGGCUGUCCAAGGAAGGCUGACCUGCCAUUCCCCAACAGCCUCCAGAAAGACAGCACCUACUGUCUUUAACAAAGCACGACCCAAACAGCUGCUCCUCUGCAUCACUAGCAGUUGCCCUUCUGCGUUAUCUUGAGCAAUGCUGCAAUCCUUAGAAGAACGUCCAUUUGGCAACAUUAUUAAUCUAGUAAAAGAAGGUAAAUAGACAUAAACUGUUGGGGUUUAUAUUUUCACUAAGAAGUGUGGCAGCUUUUGUGACUACUUGGUGGGGCCUGGAGUUUUUGCUUUUAGAGCUACUUCCCAACAUGUAAAUUAUAGUAGAAUUUAGCUAUUGUUUGCAGCUUUUUAUCUGCACUCAGACACACUUCAGUCUUUAGAUUACGUUUACUUCAACAGCUCCUGAGAACACUUUGGAAGGUGAUGGAAUAAAAAAUCCUGGAAGCCUUUUCCAGGCAUAUGUAGAACAAGACGCUAUUUAGGACUAGUCAGCAUGGGUUCACAAAGAAGUUGUUGUUCUUGACCGACUUGAUAACCUAUGAUGAAAUGACUGGCCUAAUAUGUAUGUGGAUAUUCCCCAUUUGACUACUGAGACUUCAUCAAGGCUUUUAACACUGUCUCCCCUAAGUUACUUGCAGAGAAACUGAUGAAGUUUGGACUGGGUCUGCACAUAGCAAGAUGGAUAGAAAAUUGAACGGAUGGGCCCAGGGGAUUGUGAUCAAUAGCAUGAAGUCCAGUUGGAGGCCACUUGAAGGGUGGUUAAAAUCAAGGGCCCAUCCUGUGAGCCAUCCUAGCACUGAGGAUCAGCGUUUAGAAACAAAGCCUUAAUGUAAGGCUUCAAGGUUGAGGUGAUUUCAGAGGAAUUUUGCUGUGUUGUGAGAAUGAGGGACCUGGCUCAAGAAAACCAGAACCAAGCAUGGGAACAAGAUGUGUAAUUUAUCAAUGUAACUUUGCGAUUAGAAUGUUUUGUAAAUAUCUUCAUUCCAUGGAAACAUGUAACUUGAGAAAUGUAACCAAUCACUGUCUGUUGUUAGGAUGUGUUCUACCAAUCAACAAUUAACAUGAUUACUAAUUAGUGUUUAGUUAGGUAU